UCAGGAAGGGUUCACACUGUUUGUUAUUGUAAAGUACUUCCGUUUUUAUAUUGUUUUGUUUGUUUUCGUUUGUUCUUCGGUUUUCGUGGGCUGUUCUGCGGUUCUCGUUCGUUAUUAUGUCGUUUGGUAUAUUCAGCAAGACAAAAGCCGCCCUGGUAUAUCCAAAUGCCAUCAGAGGGCUGUGCUAGAAGGCCAUGAGAGAGGUGGCAUAACAUCAAACCACAAUAAACACUCACCUGAAGAAGAAAGGAAAGGCGCCUUGAAGAAGUCAGACGUCCGCGGGUCCAGCUCCGACAGCUCGGUGUUCUCACGGAGUGGGUUCUGGAACCUUCGGAUGUUCUCCUCAUUCUGGUUGUUGGAUUUGUCGUGCUCGGGGUCUCCUGGCGGAUCCAGCUUCCGGCUGAUGGAGGGAAGUGGGGAGGGCCACGUGGAGGGGACCUCUUGGCACAAGGAGUGGUGGGAGCGCAAGUACCACACAGUGAGGGCUACAAAGAUGGCCAGAAGAGCGAGGCCGACGAAGGUGACUGUGACUGCGAGAUCACUCUGGAUUUUCGUGUUUCACUUAUCCGAUUCCCCUGCAAUCCGGACAUUUUCACAGGAAACGACGCCGUCCGGAACGCGGGUCGACUGUAUCACACUUUUGUUGCAGAAGCUUCUGGCAGUACAGUGGUAAUGAAUUCUUUGCGGCCCGCUGCAGAGAAUACGGGAGGAGAAGGUGUGGAAGAGGAUGCUGACACUUCACUGAAACGUCACGCGAGCUACAGAGGAGAUUCUCUAGUUGCUCCUCCCCAUACGCAUGGAUUUACGUAACCAGCUAACGCUUCAAGUGCAAGGCUCUACAUCAAGAAAGGCAUUUCUCCACUUACGGGUGGUAUGCUCCUGCGAUCGAACAGCAGUGCGAUCCUUGCACAGUUGUUGCUCAGUUCAGCAGAGUUUGGAAGGCAGAAUGGGUUGAUUCCUUCUGCGAUGGCUGUGGUGGCAUUGCUCGCGGCCAGGGCACGACACUCUCCUCGAGAUACACCACUGCAGGGAGCGACGAAGCAGGUUUCGGAAGCGACUGCGAUGCAGGUCUGAUCUGCUGGACAUGUGGGUGUGUUUCCGGAAGGAUCGCAUUCUGAGGUGGAGCAGCGUGUCUAUUUAAGGAAUUAACAUCAUUAGACAUACUGCAGAUAAUGUCGCACAUUUUCGUUCCGGUGUUUAGCAUCCUAGAGUAGCCAAUCGUAUUUGAUCAACUAUAAUGUUAAAAGCGUACGUUGCUCACGUACACAAUAAAAUAAAAUAAAAGGA